UAGAGUUUGAUCCUGGCUCAGGAUGAACGCUAGCGGCAGGCUUAAUACAUGCAAGUCGUGGGGCAGCAUGAGUAGCAAUACUUGAUGGCGACCGGCAAACGGGUGCGGAACACGUACACAACCUUCCGAUAAGUGGGGAAUAGCCCAGAGAAAUUUGGAUUAAUACCCCGUAACAUAUAGAGUAGGCAUCUUCUUUAUAUUAUAGCUUCGGCGCUUAUUGAUGGGUGUGCGUCUGAUUAGGUAGUUGGCGGGGUAACGGCCCACCAAGCCUACGAUCAGUAGCUGAUGUGAGAGCAUGAUCAGCCACACGGGCACUGAGACACGGGCCCGACUCCUACGGGAGGCAGCAGUAAGGAAUAUUGGACAAUGGGCGAAAGCCUGAUCCAGCCAUGCCGCGUGAAGGAUUAAGGUCCUCUGGAUUGUAAACUUCUUUUAUUUGGGACGAAAAAAGGGAACUCUUUCCCACUUGACGGUACCAAGUGAAUAAGCACCGGCUAACUCCGUGCCAGCAGCCGCGGUAAUACGGAGGGUGCAAGCGUUAUCUGGAUUCACUGGGUUUAAAGGGUGCGUAGGCGGGUAUGUAAGUCAGUGGUGAAAUCUCGGAGCUUAACUCCGAAACUGCCAUUGAUACUAUAUAUCUUGAAUAUUGUGGAGGUUUGCGGAAUAUGUCAUGUAGCGGUGAAAUGCUUAGAUAUGACAUAGAACACCUAUUGCGAAGGCAGCAGGCUACACAUAUAUUGACGCUGAGGCACGAAAGCGUGGGGAUCAAACAGGAUUAGAUACCCUGGUAGUCCACGCCCUAAACGAUGGAUACUCGACAUACGCGAUACACUGUGUGUGUCUGAGCGAAAGCAUUAAGUAUCCCACCUGGGAAGUACGACCGCAAGGUUGAAACUCAAAGGAAUUGGCGGGGGUC
rnacentral:rRNA from 1 species